rnacentral:lncRNA from 1 species
GGAGGGAGCGCAGGCGGCGGGGGAGGCAGCGGCGCCGCCGCCGAGCCCCGCGCGCUCCCCACCCCCUCAAGGUUGGGCCGCUGGGAGGCGGAUCAGUGGACAGACAGCGGCCCGCGGGACGGCGGAAGGACGCGCGCACCGAGGCUCAGGGGGUCCGGCCGCGCGCCGAGGAGUCGCUUGCCCAGGGCCCCGGCCAGUGCCCAGCCCCGCUGGGAGACCCGGCCAGCACCACGGACGGCGCCCAGGAAGCCCGAGUCCCCCUGGACGGGGCCUUCUGGAUUCCGAGGCCCCCGGCAGGUUCGCCCAAGGGCUGCUUCGCUUGCGUGUCCAAGCCCCCUGCCCUGCAGGCUCCGGCGGCCCCUGCCCCUG